rnacentral:tRNA from 1 species
CGGGUGUAGUUCAGUGGUAGAAUGUCUGCUUCCCAAGCAGAAGAUCGCCGGUUCGAGCCCGGUCACC